rnacentral:rRNA from 1 species
UACGUAGGGUGCGAGCGUUUGUCCGGAAUUAUUGGGCGUAAAGGGCUCGUAGGCGGUUUGUCGCGUCGGGGAGUGAAAACCUCGGGCUUAACUCGGGGCUUGCUUUCGAUACGGGUAGACUAGAGGUAUGCAGGGGAGAACGGAAUUCCUGGUGUAGCGGUGGAAAUGCGCAGAUAUCAGGAGGAACACCGGUGGCGAAGGGCGGUUCUCUGGGCAUGUCCUGACGCUGAGGAGCGAAAGUGUGGGGAGCGAACAGG